GAGUCUGCGUUCCAUUAGCUUGUUGGCGGGGUAACGGCCCACCAAGGCAUCGAUGGGUAGCCGAUUUGAGAGGAUGAUCGGCCACACUGGAACUGAAACACGGUCCAGACUCCUACGGGAGGCAGCAGUGGGGAAUAUUGCGCAAUGGGCGAAAGCCUGACGCAGCGACGCCGCGUGAGGGAUGAAGGUUUUCGGAUCGUAAACCUCUGUCAGAAGGGAAGAAACUACGUUGUGCUAAUCAGCAGCGUACUGACGGUACCUUCAAAGGAAGCACCGGCUAACUCCGUGCCAGCAGCCGCGGUAAUACGGAGGGUGCAAGCGUUAAUCGGAAUUACUGGGCGUAAAGCGCACGUAGGCUGUAGUGUAAGUCAGGGGUGAAAUCCCACGGCUCAACCGUGGAACUGCCUUUGAUNCUGCACAACUUGAAUCCGGGAGAGGGUGGCGGAAUUCCAGGUGUAKGAGUGAAAUCC
rnacentral:rRNA from 1 species